CCCCCCUUCACCCCCCCCUCCUCAGCCAAACAAGAAAGAUGUCGACCGUCCCGCAGUACAUGGGCUGCUUCACGUUGCUCUACGCCGAUCCAGAGGUGAAGGAGCAGCAUCAGUACCUGCAGCCUUUGUACGGUCUCACAGCCGACGAUGAUCCGCCGGCGCCGCUGCAGCUCCCAUGGGGGUUCUCGCAGGACGCCUCCGCGAGCACCUCGAGCAUCAGCUCCAGCUUGACCUCGCAGGACGAUGUACAGGGCAGCAUCGCAGGCUCUCAGCGGACCGCAAGCGUGGAUGAGCCGGCGGCACAACGCCACAAGCACUCGCAGACCACCGCCGGCGCCCUACCGCGACCGACAAACUCACCCGGCGCCAAGGACGACGACGACAGUGAAGCGCGGCAAGCACCGACAGCAGCGCCAGUCCGCCCGCCCCGGAAAAUCAAUCAUGUAGGCCUCAGCCUGUACCCCGACCUGUCGACAGGCAUUGUCGGUCCUCAGCCCGUCUUCGGUGGCGCCGCACUUUCUGCCGCCGAACCGGCCACCACCACAACCACCAGCUCCGCCCCAUCGGCGGCGGCGGCAGGUGUACCGCAACCCUACCUUUUCGCCUCCAAUGGUACACCAAUGCUCUCGAGCGUCGUUGACCCAGAUGCGCUGCAGAAGUUGCAAGAGGCACGCCGCCCUUACCCUGCCCCGCAGCCCCGUAGUGGACACGUUUUGCUCCCGUGCCCCGAACGUGGCAGUCUCAUCAUGUUCGGCGGCCUGGGCGACGUCCCAUUCAACGAUGUGUGGGAAUAUGACGUGCGAACAGGUCGUUGGGCAGAGCUGCCGUGCGUCCCUGCCUCGGAGGAUGAGGAGGAUGAGGAAGAGCUUUUGGCGACGCAACAACGCAGGUCACAUAUGCAGCGUAGUGGUAACCGCCACCUCGAAGACGAGGACGCAGCCACCUCCAUCGGAACCCCUUCCAUCACCUCCAGCUCCUCAGACGAUGAGGACGACGACGACGACUCUGACGAUAUGCACGAAGGCGACGAGGAGGGCACGAGGGCUGCGGCGCAGCGCCUGCCACGGAGGCGGCAGUGUCGCAACAUGCCACCCCCCGCCUACGGCCAAGCCGCCUCGCUCUAUCAAGACGUGAACGGUGAGACGUGCAUGGCCAUCCUCGGCGGCAUCUCCGUCGGUGAUAUCUGCUGCAGCGGCUUCUUCUCGCUCAACCUGAACCGGCUCACGUGGCGACGCGUACAGACGACAAUUCCGUUCUUUGAUAUGUGGGGCGCCACAGCGCAGACGCUGUACGCACCACGUCGCAGCAGUGUGCUUUACACGGCAACCACGCCCGGCGCGGCCGCGGACGAGGAACGUGGCGGCGACGAAGGGAACGGCACUCGCGUCAGCGCGGAGGAGCAGGUGGUGGUGCUCUUCGGUGGCAUGACAGAGGAAGGCGAGGUGGUUCGGCCCGUGACGCAUCUCUUUCAUUUCGACCACCGCCUCACGGCUGCCGAGAUCGAUUCGAACCCAGACAUGUACCUGAAGAGCAUCGAGUACGAGAAAAGCGAAUAUGCGCGUAUCAUGCGCCGCGUGCUCGCCGAGGAGGACAUCGCCGACGUCCACACGACGGGCGAAAAUGGGCUGAGUCCCAGCAUCGAAACGCGGUGCAGCCAAUGGCGUGAGGCGCACCCCAACACUCUCAUGCGGUGGCGGCGGCGCGCGCUGGAAAAGAUGGCGGGGAAGUACUGGGUUGAGUACCUCCCGGCUCCCGAGGACUUGCAUGGGCGUCGCCGCUCCACGAGCGCCGCCUACAAGCGUCACUUCAUGUACAUCUUUGGCGGCCGUGACGACUUCUACUUCUACAACGACCUCUGGUGUCUGAACCUUAUCACGCGGACCUGGGUGCAGGUGCGGGAAGGGGUGCCACCGCACUUGCUUCGCAGCUUCCUGGCGGAGCCGUACAAUCCCAUGUACGGCAUUCUCAUCAACGACCGCGGGGCGCAGCUGCGGCAGGAGACGAUCACAAAGACAGAAGCGAAGCUGCUGCACAACUCCACGAACGGCACUAUCAACCCGAUGUACCGCGCCCGCGACGUGCACCACGCCCUCUUCGCGAGUUCAGUGAACAGCUCAGCUCGAGCGCGAACCGGGGCCUGCAUGGUGGUGGAUGUGCAGCGCGACUGCCUCUACGUGUACGGCGGCUUCUCCUACACAGGUCAGCAGCACCUGACCUUCUUCGACCUCCACGCCUUCUAUAUUGGCGAGAACGUGUGGCGGCGCGUGUGCAUCUGCCGCGAGCGUCCAUGGGAGGUGAUGAUCGACGCCGCCGCGGACGCCGUCGGCAUCGUGAAUCCAGCGGAGGAGGGCAGGUCGUAUGCGCGUCACGCCUCACCGUCGUCAGCCGCAGGUGCCGGCGGGCAGACAAUGGGGUCUGGUGCGCCGUCGCUGCCCCCUACGCUGAUGGGCUACGCUGCUCGCUAUCUUCAGGGCGACCCUUUCACAACCGCCUCCGCGAGCGGAAUCUUAGUGGCAGCCUCUCUCGGUCCUCCUUUGGCCCCGCGCGGGUCACGGACGAGCCGGAUGCCAAACACCCACUCCGCGCCCGGCGCGCACCGCAACUGUUUCCACCUACCAUCCUUCGUUCCAGAGGCGCGAACGAUGGCUGCCAUGGUGGAGGACCCCGUGCACCCCGGCGCACGCUUCUUCCUGCACGGCGGCCGCUCUGGCGAGGAAGCCUGCGGCGAUUUCUUCGAGCUACGCACGUACGUCGGCCGCACGGUCGACAUGGAGUACAUGAAGUUGCACCGAGCGGCCCGCGAGGAGGUGGUCGGCUUGGUGUCCACACGCUCCUCGGCCGGUACGAACACCUUGGCAACGCCCUCGGCCUCGUUGAGCAACCCACCUGCCACAUCCGUGACGACAUCGUUCCUGACCGCGGCAGACGCGGCCUCAGGGCUCUCUGCCACCGACGCUGCACGCCUUCAGUGGAACAGUCGUCGGCAGCUCCAACGUCAGCUGGUCAGCGCUGCUCUCGAGACUCAGGAAGGUUUCGAAGACAUGCCUGCAGCGCAUUACAGCUCCAUCAACGACACUGUACCGCUGCCGCGCCGCACGCUUCGCGACGCUGCCACGCGCUGGAUACGGGAUGGACUGGCGGCUGUAGACCCGAAGAGUCUCAUGUUUGUUGAGCUACGCAACGGCCACGCGGUGGUGAACCUGCGAACCCACAUCCACUACCUCAGCCGACUGAGCCUGCUUGGCGGCGGCAGCGGUGACGGGAGCGGGCACGCAGAGCACGGCGAGAGGGGUUCGGCAGCGGCGGUAGCAACAACAGGCGCGUCAAGCACAUCGUCUGCGGCCAAUCACACCUUGAACGCUCGCACAGGCACACUGGCCGGCACCGGCAGCAACAUCAGUGCUUCGUCGGCUCUGGCGACGCCGAUGCAGUUUGAGAGCAUGGACGGCCACCUGAAGCGGUCUGCGCGGUCGCUGGAGCUGCUCCUGUACGAUGUGCUGCUCUCGAAGCCGAUCAACAACGGCGGCGGCGCAGGCGUCGGUUGCAGUGGGGGUGCUGCUAGGGCAUCAUGUCACCGUCGCACGUGCAGCUCCACCCACAUGCCGGGGAUCGAGCCCGCGACGAGUCCGUCCACACGCGGCGUUGCCAUGGCAACAUCGCCCGAGGUGCUCGGGAUGUUCCCAUCAUACCCCGGCAGCGUCGUUGGCGGCAGUCCAGGUACAAGCCCCGGUAGCGGCACACCGCUCCCCACGUCACCGCAGGUCCAAAUUGUGAGCCGCGCGCAGUACUCCACCCCCCGCACCCCGCAGGUGCUGAGUAUGACGCUAUCCGGCAACAGCGGUGGUACGGCGCAGCAGCAACAGCAGCAGCAGCUCAGCACAUCUUUCCCCUCGCAGGGCGGUGACUCGGCUGUCUUAGCUGCACGCGACGCUCGGGCAUCGUCGCCCGCCCUGACAAGUGGGAGCAGCAGCUUCUGCGGUAGUGGUGGUGUUGGUGGUGCAGGCUUUUCCACGUGCGGCCCCGUCAGCGGUGGUGCAUCGCCGGCCAACAACGAGUAUGCCUACCACGUGCUUUUUCGAAGUCUCUUCCACCACGAACCCUUCUACAGGCCCAGCUACGCGGCGGACAAGAAGCGGUGAAGUAGGCGGUGGGGGAGGGGGGUAAGGCCGUGGAAGAAGAGAGUGCAGGUGGCCAACGAGGCGGUGGUAAGAAGGCACGGGAGGCGCAGAAGGAGCCGCAGGUGACGACGGCGCGGCGGUCUUCUCUUUCGUUUGUGAUGCUGCGAAGGCGCGUAGAGCUGGGAGAGGAAAGCCUUGGGAGAGGAAAGCCUAGGGAGAGGAUUUUUUACUCGGCAUGGGAGAAGGGCCUGUUUCCGAUACACAAGAGUGUCAGAGCAGCGCGAACAUUCUCUUUUGCCUCGGGUGCGCUGAUCCUCUGCCUUCUCGACGACUUCUCCUGCCCAUCUCUCCCUCCAUCUCUGCACCAUUUCGACACACUCCCUUAGUGACAGAGCCGAGCACUUACCGCAUGGGGGAGUCAGAGCGAUGCAUCGCUGCUGGUAUCGGCGGCGAGGUCCCGGGCUGACGUUGCGUCGGAGCAGCUUGCGACGGUGUGAACAUGUGUGUGCCAUCCAUGCGAUGGGCAGAGCGUCAGCGCGACUCGAGCGUAUCCCAUCCGGCCCUCACACUGCCUACUGGUGUGGGGCGGCUGCGUGCCACCCCCGAGGGAGGCACCAGGGGUGGCGCACUGCUGUAACGCAUGUAUCUACCGCUGCGUCGCGCCGCACGAUGUGGGGGCCCUGUGGACAGGCCGGUCGGUGGAGGGAGGAGGGGAGGGGUGUAGCGCUUUAGCGCGUGUUGCAGGGCAGCAUGGUCUCGUUGACCGCAAACAAAAAAAAAGCAUAAAGAGCGCUGUUGAGACUAUGAGUGUGUCUGUGUGUGGUCGGCCAAGCACGCUCCCCCUUUUGCCGUGUAGGCAUUUGUUUUCGGAGGAGCGCCUUCCAUCUCCCUUUUUAGCACAUGUGUGCAUGCAUGUGUGUCUGUGUGCGCGCAAGUUUGGUGCACCGAUUCAGGAAUCCGACCUCUCUCUCCUUAUCAGCGAAGGCGGUCGGUGUGGCUGCUCCUAAAACUACCGCCGCCGCAGCGGCGGCCGUUGUCGUAGGAAUGAGGAACCAGAAAGUGAAGUGAAGUGGGCACACCUUCUUCCUGUCUGUGUGCAUUUUCCCUUUUCUUUUGCUGCGUAAAGACAGG
rnacentral:misc_RNA from 1 species